rnacentral:rRNA from 1 species
GAUGAACGCUAGCGGCAGGCUUAAUACAUGCAAGUCGAGGGGCAGCAGGACUGUAGCAAUACAGUUGCUGGCGACCGGCAAACGGGUGCGGAACACGUACGCAACCUACCCAAAACUGGGGGAUAGCCCGGGGAAACCCGGAUUAAUACCUCGUAACCUUUUUAAGUGGCAUCACUUGAUAAGUAUAGCUCCGGCGGUUUUGGAUGGGCGUGCGCCUGAUUAGGUAGUUGGUGCGGGUAACGGCCCACCAAGCCUGCGAUCAGUAACUGGUGUGAGAGCACGACCCGUCCCCCGGGCACUGAGACCCGGGCCCGACUCCUACGGGGGGCAGCAGUAAGGAAUAUUGGUCAAUGGACGCAAUUUUGAACCAGCCAUGCCGCGUGAAGGAUGAAGGUCCUCUGGAUUUUAAACUUCUUUUAUGGGGGACGAAACCCGGAUUUUUUUAUCCGAUGGGCGGUCCCUCAGGAAUAAGCACCGGCUAACUCCGU